rnacentral:rRNA from 1 species
ACAGAUCGUUCAGAGUUUGAUCCUGGCUCAGGACGAACGCUGGCGGCGUGCCUAACACAUGCAAGUCGAACGGAGUUAAGACUUCGGUUUUAACUUAGUGGCGAACGGGUGAGUAACGCGUGAGAAACCUACCUUUCAUGGGGGACAACAGUUGGAAACGACUGCUAAUACCGCAUAAUGUAUCGAGAGGGCAUCCUCUUGAUACCAAAGAUUUAUUGCUGAAAGAUGGUCUCGCGUCUGAUUAGCUAGUUGGUGAGGUAACGGCUCACCAAGGCGGCGAUCAGUAGCCGGUCUGAGAGGAUGAACGGCCACAUUGGGACUGAGAUACGGCCCAG